rnacentral:sRNA from 1 species
UUACAUCGGUGUCUCGGUUAUGGUCGGC